GAUGAACGCUGGCGGCGUGCCUAACACAUGCAAGUCGAGCGAAGCGCUUAAAUUAGAUUUCUUCGGAAUGACGAUUUUUGUGACUGAGCGGCGGACGGGUGAGUAACGCGUGGGUAACCUGCCUCAUACAGGGGGAUAACAGUUAGAAAUGACUGCUAAUACCGCAUAAGACCCCAGCUUCGCAUGAAGCGGUGGUAAAAACUCCGGUGGUAUGAGAUGGACCCGCGUCUGAUUAGCUAGUUGGUAAGGUAACGGCUUACCAAGGCGACGAUCAGUAGCCGACCUGAGAGGGUGACCGGCCACAUUGGGACUGAGACACGGCCCAGACUCCUACGGGAGGCAGCAGUGGGGUAUAUUGCACAAUGGGGGAAACCCUGAUGCAGCGACGCCGCGUGAAGGAUGAAGUAUUUCGGUAUGUAAACUUCUAUCAGCAGGGAAGAAAGUGACGGUACCUGACUAAGAAGCCCCGGCUAACUACGUG
rnacentral:rRNA from 1 species